rnacentral:rRNA from 1 species
UACGUAGGGGCCUAGCGUUGUCCGGAAUUAUUGGGCGUAAAGAGCUCGUAGGCGGUUCGGCAAGUCGGAUGUGAAAUCUCCACGCUUAACGUGGAGGGGCCAUUCGAAACUGCUGUGACUCGAGUCCGGUAGGGGAGUGUGGAAUUCCCGGUGUAGCGGUGAAAUGCGCAGAUAUCGGGAGGAACACCAGUAGCGAAGGCGGCACUCUGGGCCGGUACUGACGCUGAGGAGCGAAAGCCAGGGGAGCAAACGGG